rnacentral:sRNA from 1 species
UUUUUCUUCACAUACCUCCUGCCUCACAGUGCCCCGCCUUCACUGCGUCCUCUGCUGGACAGCAUCGUCAACGCCACAGGCUCUGGAGGCAGAGGUGGGAGCAGCUGGCUGCUGACUUCAGGGAGGAGUGGGAGCCCCAGGCGUCCUGUCUUAGCCACACUGCACUCUGCAGGAGAGCUCACCUGGGGGGUGGACGAGACCCUGGCCCAGCUGGAGAAGGUGCUGCACCUGUACCGGAGCGGGCAGUAUCUGCAGAACUCCACGGCAAGCAGCAGUACCGAGUACCAGUGUAUCCCAGACAGCACCAUCCCCCAGGAAGACUACCGCUGCUGGCCAUCCUACCACCACGGGAGCUGCCUCCUUUCAGUGUUCAACCUGGCUGAGGCCGUGGAUGUCUGUGAGAGCCAUGCCCAGUGUCGGGCCUUUGUGGUCACCAACCAGACCACCUGGACAGGUCGGCAGCUGGUCUUUUUCAAGACUGGAUGGAGCCAAGUGGUCCCUGAUCCCAACAAGACCACAUAUGUGAAGGCCUCUGGCUGACCUAUCUGAAGGCUCGGCUGACCAGCUGACUAUCCUCAGCAGCUGGGCUUGCCUGUGGAGGGAGUGACUUGCAUUGGCAGCACUGCAUGUCACCUGGGAACCCCUGCAGACAAAGCUAACAUCCCAGACAGACAGAUGUGACCAGGACAAACGUGCAAUAAUGCCAAAUGUUAAAAUGUGAGUUUACCAGCCUAGCUAUGGGACUGCUGGCUCCUAGUCCAGGAA